GGGGUUGUGGCUCAGUGGUAGAGUACUCACCUAGCAUGUGUGAGGUCCUGGGUUUGAUCCUCAGCACCA
rnacentral:tRNA from 1 species